rnacentral:rRNA from 1 species
GAUGAACGCUAGCUACAGGCUUAACACAUGCAAGUCGAGGGGCAGCAUGAACUUAGCUUGCUAAGUUUGAUGGCGACCGGCGCACGGGUGAGUAACACGUAUCCAACCUGCCGAUGACUCGGGGAUAGCCUUUCGAAAGAAAGAUUAAUACCCGAUGGCAUAGUUCUUCCGCAUGGUAGAACUAUUAAAGAAUUUCGGUCAUCGAUGGGGAUGCGUUCCAUUAGGUUGUUGGCGGGGUAACGGCCCACCAAGCCUUCGAUGGAUAGGGGUUCUGAGAGGAAGGUCCCCCACAUUGGAACUGAGACACGGUCCAAACUCCUACGGGAGGCAGCAGUGAGGAAUAUUGGUCAAUGGACGAGAGUCUGAACCAGCCAAGUAGCGUGAAGGAUGACUGCCCUAUGGGUUGUAAACUUCUUUUAUACGGGAAUAAAGUGAGGCACGUGUGCCUUUUUGUAUGUACCGUAUGAAUAAGGAUCGGCUAACUCCGUGCCAGCAGCCGCGGUAAUACGGAGGAUCCGAGCGUUAUCCGGAUUUAUUGGGUUUAAAGGGAGCGUAGGCGGACGCUUAAGUCAGUUGUGAAAGUUUGCGGCUCAACCGUAAAAUUGCAGUUGAUACUGGGUGUCUUGAGUACAGUAGAGGCAGGCGGAAUUCGUGGUGUAGCGGUGAAAUGCUUAGAUAUCACGAAGAACUCCGAUUGCGAAGGCAGCCUGCUGGACUGUAACUGACGCUGAUGCUCGAAAGUGUGGGUAUCAAACAGGAUUAGAUACCCUGGUAGUCCACACAGUAAACGAUGAAUACUCGCUGUUUGCGAUAUACAGUAAGCGGCCAAGCGAAAGCGUUAAGUAUUCCACCUGGGGAGUACGCCGGCAACGGUGAAACUCAAAGGAAUUGACGGGGGCCCGCACAAGCGGAGGAACAUGUGGUUUAAUUCGAUGAUACGCGAGGAACCUUACCCGGGCUUGAAUUGCAACUGAAUGAUGUGGAGACAUGUCAGCCGCAAGGCAGUUGUGAAGGUGCUGCAUGGUUGUCGUCAGCUCGUGCCGUGAGGUGUCGGCUUAAGUGCCAUAACGAGCGCAACCCUUAUCGAUAGUUACCAUCAGGUGAUGCUGGGGACUCUGUCGAGACUGCCGUCGUAAGAUGUGAGGAAGGUGGGGAUGACGUCAAAUCAGCACGGCCCUUACGUCCGGGGCUACACACGUGUUACAAUGGGGGGUACAGAAGGCAGCUACACGGCGACGUGAUGCUAAUCCCGAAAGCCUCUCUCAGUUCGGAUUGGAGUCUGCAACCCGACUCCAUGAAGCUGGAUUCGCUAGUAAUCGCGCAUCAGCCACGGCGCGGUGAAUACGUUCCCGGGCCUUGUACACACCGCCCGUCAAGCCAUGGGAGCCGGGGGUGCCUGAAGUGCGUAACCGCGAGGAGCGCCCUAGGGUAAAACUGGUGACUGGGGC